rnacentral:rRNA from 1 species
UGGGCGAGAGCCUGAACCAGCCAAGUAGCGUGCAGGAUGACGGCCCUAUGGGUUGUAAACUGCUUUUAUGCGGGGAUAAAGUGAGGGACGUGUCCUUCAUUGCAGGUACCGCAUGAAUAAGGACCGGCUAAUUCCGUGCCAGCAGCCGCGGUAAUACGGAAGGUCCGGGCGUUAUCCGGAUUUAUUGGGUUUAAAGGGAGCGUAGGCCGUGGAUUAAGCGUGUUGUGAAAUGCAGGUGCUCAACGUCUGCACUGCAGCGCGAACUGGUCCACUUGAGUGUGCGCAACGCAGGCGGAAUUCGUCGUGUAGCGGUGAAAUGCUUAGAUAUGACGAAGAACUCCGAUUGCGAAGGCAGCUUGCGGGAGCACAACUGACGCUGAAGCUCGAAAGUGCGGGUAUCGAACAGGAUUAGAUACCCUGGUAGUCCGCACGGUAAACGAUGGAUGCCCGUUGUCAGGCUGUUUCAGCCUGGUGACCAAGCGAAAGCAUUAAGCAUCCCACCUGGGGAGUACGCCGGCAACGGUGAAACUCAAAGGAAUUGACGGGGGCCCGCACAAGCGGAGGAACAUGUGGUUUAAUUCGAUGAUACGCGAGGAACCUUACCCGGGCUUGAAUUGCAGACGAAGGCUUCAGAGAUGAAGCGGCCCUUCGGGGCGUCUGUGAAGGUGCUGCAUGGUUGUCGUCAGCUCGUGCCGUGAGGUGUCGGCUUAAGUGCCAUAACGAGCGCAACCCCUUUCUUCAGUUGCCAUCAGGUGAUGCUGGGCACUCUGGAGACACUGCCACCGCAAGGUGUGAGGAAGGUGGGGAUGACGUCAAAUCAGCACGGCCCUUACGUCCGGGGCUACACACGUGUUACAAUGGCCGGUACAGAGAGUUGAUUUUGUGCAAACACGAUCUAAU